rnacentral:tRNA from 1 species
UCGGAGCGUUCGGGCGGUGGCUCCGAGCCCAUCGCGCGUGCGGCGCGGUCGGGGAGAUCGGUCAGGGCGACCUCAGCGGUUCGUACCUCGGCCGCUGCGGGC